AAGCUGCUACGGCUUACACAUGCNAGUCGAGGGGUAGCAUGGAAUUAGCUUGCUAAUUUUGAUGACGACCGGCGCACGGGUGAGUAACACGUAUCCAACCUGCCCAUUACUCUGGGAUAGCCUUCUGAAAGGGAGAUUAAUACCGGAUAGUUUUAAGGGAUCGCAUGAUUUUUUAAACAAAGAUUUAUUGGUAAUGGAUGGGGAUGCGUAUCAUUAGGUAGUUGGUGAGGUAACGGCUCACCAAGCCUUCGAUGAUUAGGGGUUCUGAGAGGAAGGUCCCCCACACUGGUACUGAGACACGGACAGACUCCUACGGGAGGCAGCAGUGAGGAAUAUUGGUCAAUGGCCGAGAGGCUGAACCAGCCAAGUAGCGUGAAGGAUGACUGCCCUAUGGGUUGUAAACUUCUUUUAUAUGGGAAUAAAGUGCAUCACGUGUGAUGUUUUGUAUGUACCAUUAUGAAUAAGCAUCGGCUAACUCCGUGCCAGCAGCCGCGGUAAU
rnacentral:rRNA from 1 species